AGAGAAAAAAUUAUGGCUUUGAGUUGAUUUGUGGAUUAAAUUAUAUACAAUAAAAACGGUCUAUAGCGACACUUUUAAAUAUAGGUACAUGUCAAAAAAGUGCUGCUAGCUAAAAUUACCGACACUUUUAAAAAGUGCUGUUAUAUGUGGGGUCGCUAGGUAUAUAGUGACAGUUAAAGAGUGUCGCUAUAACCUAAAAGAGUGCUGCUAAUUUACGAACACUUACUUAAGCAUUUAGCAACCGCCGAAACUUUAUCUCGUUGGCUGCGGUGGCGGAGGAGGACGACAGGAAAGGCUCUUCGUCUAGAAUUUCAGUGAAUUGAGUGAAGAGAGAAGAAAAAAUGGCAAUUGAUUUUUUUUUUUUUUUUCUUUUCUGUUUGUAAUUGGGCCAAAUGGACUGGGUGUGGUGGGUUGAGUAGAGUAAUCUUUUAUUUU
rnacentral:lncRNA from 1 species